rnacentral:rRNA from 1 species
AGUGAACGCUGGCGGUAGGCCUAACACAUGCAAGUCGAACGGCAGCACAGUAAGAGCUUGCUCUUACGGGUGGCGAGUGGCGGACGGGUGAGGAAUACAUCGGAAUCUACUUUUUCGUGGGGGAUAACGUAGGGAAACUUACGCUAAUACCGCAUACGACCUACGGGUGAAAGCAGGGGAUCUUCGGACCUUGCGCGAUUGAAUGAGCCGAUGUCGGAUUAGCUAGUUGGCGGGGUAAAGGCCCACCAAGGCGACGAUCCGUAGCUGGUCUGAGAGGAUGAUCAGCCACACUGGAACUGAGACACGGUCCAGCCUCCUACGGGAGGCAGCAGUGGGGAAUAUUGGACAAUGGGCGCAAGCCUGAUCCAGCCAUACCGCGUGGGUGAAGAAGGCCUUCGGGUUGUAAAGCCCUUUUGUUGGGAAAGAAAAGCAGCAGGUUAAUACCCCGCUGUUCUGACGGUACCCAAAGAAUAAGCACCGGCGAACUUCGU